rnacentral:rRNA from 1 species
UUGACCCGGCGAUGUCCGAAUGGGGAAACCCAGUGCAAUCCGUUGCACUAUCGUUAACUGAAUACAUAGGUUAACGAGGCGAACCGGGGGAACUGAAACAUCUAAGUACCCCGAGGAAAAGAAAUCAACCGAGAUUCCCCCAGUAGCGGCGAGCGAACGGGGAGCAGCCCGGAGUCUGAAUCAGCUUGUGUGUUAGUGGAACGGUCUGGAAAGUCCGACGGUACAGGGUGAUAGUCCCGUACACGAAAGCACACUUGCUGUGAACUCGAAGAGUAGGGCGGGACACGUGGUAUCCUGUCUGAAUAUGGGGGGACCAUCCUCCAAGGCUAAAUACUCCUGACUGACCGAUAGUGAACCAGUACCGUGAGGGAAAGGCGAAAAGAACCCCGGCGAGGGGAGUGAAAAAGAACCUGAAACCGUGUACGUACAAGCAGUGGGAGCCUCUUUAUGGGGUGACUGCGUACCUUUUGUAUAAUGGGUCAGCGACUUAUAUUCUGUAGCAAGGUUAACCGUAUAGGGGAGCCGAAGGGAAACCGAGUCUUAACUGGGCGUUAAGUUGCAGGGUAUAGACCCGAAACCCGGUGAUCUAGCCAUGGGCAGGUUGAAGGUUGGGUAACACUAACUGGAGGACCGAACCGACUAAUGUUGAAAAAUUAGCGGAUGACCUGUGGCUGGGGGUGAAAGGCCAAUCAAACCGGGAGAUAGCUGGUUCUCCCCGAAAGCUAUUUAGGUAGCGCCUCGUGAACUCAUCUUCGGGGGUAGAGCACUGUUUCGGCUAGGGGGCCAUCCCGGCUUACCAACCCGAUGCAAACUACGAAUACCGAAGAAUGUUAUCACGGGAGACACACGGCGGGUGCUAACGUCCGUCGUGAAGAGGGAAACAACCCAGACCGCCAGCUAAGGUCCCAAAGUCAUGGUUAAGUGGGAAACGAUGUGGGAAGGCACAGACAGCCAGGAUGUUGGCUUAGAAGCAGCCAUCAUUUAAAGAAAGCGUAAUAGCUCACUGGUCGAGUCGGCCUGCGCGGAAGAUGUAACGGGGCUAAACCAUGCACCGAAGCUGCGGCAGCGACACUAUGUGUUGUUGGGUAGGGGAGCGUUCUGUAAGCCGUUGAAGGUGUGCUGUGAGGCAUGCUGGAGGUAUCAGAAGUGCGAAUGCUGACAUAAGUAACGAUAAAGCGGGUGAAAAGCCCGCUCGCCGGAAGACCAAGGGUUCCUGUCCAACGUUAAUCGGGGCAGGGUGAGUCGACCCCUAAGGCGAGGCCGAAAGGCGUAGUCGAUGGGAAACAGGUUAAUAUUCCUGUACUUGGUGUUACUGCGAAGGGGGGACGGAGAAGGCUAUGUCAGCCGGGCGACGGUUGUCCCGGUUUAAGCAUGUAGGCGGAGGUUCCAGGUAAAUCCGGUACCUUAUUAACGCUGAGGUGUGAUGACGAGGCACUACGGUGCUGAAGUGAUAAAUGCCCUGCUUCCAGGAAAAGCCUCUAAGCAUCAGGUAACACGAAAUCGUACCCCAAACCGACACAGGUGGUCAGGUAGAGAAUACCAAGGCGCUUGAGAGAACUCGGGUGAAGGAACUAGGCAAAAUGGUGCCGUAACUUCGGGAGAAGGCACGCUGAUGUGUAGGUGAAGCCCCUGCGGG